rnacentral:lncRNA from 1 species
UUUGUUCUGUGUGUUCUCACUUAUGGUUUCGAUCGCAACACACAUUUUAUAAUAGUAUAAAUUCACCUUUGCCAUUGCUUGUUUUGUUCAGCUGUGUUGGCUGUGAUCUAAUUAUCUUAAAUCAUCUUUUUUUAAGAUAUAUCGUUUGUCUUUCCAUCUUUUUCUUUAAACAAGGCGUUGUCUUUCCUUCUCUUAAUCUAUCAUCUCUUGUUACCUUCUUAGUAUUUUUUACUUUAUGCUGUGUUUCUUUUAAAAUAAUUCCUUGUUAAUGAAAUUCAUGCUCGCAAUAUGUCGUUUUGGUUAUUGUUGAAGGCCGAACGAUGACAUAUAAUUGCUAAUUUUACGUAAUUCGGACUCUGGUAGAGAGUUGUUUAAAUUGUAUUCAUACCACAUCUUCUUUCCUUCCAAUAUGCAUGUACGAAUAUAUGUCUAAUCUAUU